rnacentral:rRNA from 1 species
UACGUAGGGUCCGAGCGUUGUCCGGAAUUACUGGGCGUAAAGAGCUCGUAGGUGGUUUGUCGCGUUGUUCGUGAAAACUCACAGCUCAACUGUGGGCGUGCGGGCGAUACGGGCAGACUGGAGUACUGCAGGGGAGACUGGAAUUCCUGGUGUAGCGGUGGAAUGCGCAGAUAUCAGGAGGAACACCGAUGGCGAAGGCAGGUCUCUGGGCUGACACUGACGCUCAUGCACGAAAGCGUGGGGAGCAACAGG